rnacentral:miRNA from 2 species
AAAUCUCUGCAGGCAAAUGUGAU